rnacentral:snRNA from 1 species
GGACGUGAAGGCGACCUGGCUGUGACAACUGUCACCCCGUUGAUCACAAGGGUUGAUCUGGAAGAUCAGACUGGCUAGGUAGCUGUCCCCUUCCUCCCUCCCCACUCCAAGUGCAUACCUGCUGAAGCUCUGCCUUCUAUCCGAGAGGAUGACCUUCCUCUAAUAGAGACGGACCAGUCUACAGCCCAGGAUAUAUGAGUAGCUGCGCUCCCCUGCUGGAUCCUCCAUCAUUUCAUUGAAAGAAUACAUGUAACUAGAUGUAAGAAAGAUAAAAAGAUAAAAUAAAUUAAACAUUUAAAAAAAAACUUACAGAACAAGGAGUUU